rnacentral:rRNA from 1 species
ACUGCUCAGUAACACGUAGUCAACAUGCCCAGGGGACGUGGAUAACCUCGGGAAACUGAGGAUAAACCGCGAUAGGCCAAGAUUUCUGGAAUGAAUCAUGGUUUAAAUCUAUAUGGCCCCUGGAUUGGACUGCGGCCGAUCAGGCUGUUGGUGAGGUAAUGGCCCACCAAACCUGUAACCGGUACGGGCUCUGAGAGGAGGAGCCCGGAGAUGGGCACUUAGACAAGGGCCCAGGCCCUAUGGGGCGCAGCAGGCGCGAAACCUCUGCAAUAAGCGAAAGCUUGACAGGGUUACUCUGAGUGAUUUCCGCUAAGGAAGUCUUUUGGCACCUCUAAAAAUGGUGCAGAAUAAGGGGUGGGCAAGUCUGGUGUCAGCCGCCGCGGUAAUACCAGCACCCCGAGUGGUCGGGACGAUUAUUGGGCCUAAAGCAUCCGUAGCCGGUUCUACAAGUCUUCCGUUAAAUCCACCUGCUCAACAGAUGGGCUGCGGAGGAUACUAUAGAGCUAGGAGGCGGGAGAGGCAAGCGGUACUCAGUGGGUAGGGGUAAAAUCCGUUGAUCCAUUGAAGACCACCAGUGGCGAAGGCGGCUUGCCAGAACGCACUCGACGGUGAGGGAUGAAAGCUGGGGGAGCAAACCGGAUUAGAUACCCGGGUAGUCCCAGCUGUAAACGAUGCAGACUCGGUGAUGAAUAGGCUUCGUGCCUAUUCAGUGCCGCAGGGAAGCCGUUAAGUCUGCCGCCUGGGGAGUACGGUCGCAAGACUGAAACUUAAAGGAAUUGGCGGGGGAGCA